ensembl:lncRNA
ACGUUAAUGUUUUGUAAACUCAGGGCAGUAAUCUGCAAAUAUCCUUCUUGGCCAUUAAACAGAGAGACACCAGAUAAACAAUACAAAUCUUUUUAAUUCACUGACAACUUUGGUUUCCUACAUGUAACAUCACAUCAUGUACGUAACUGUCGUAGUAUCUAACAUCACAUCAUGUAUGUAACUGUCGUAGUAUGUAACAUCACAUCAUGUAUGUAACUGUAGUAGUAUGUAACAUCACAACAUGUAUGUAACUGUCGUAGUAUGUAACAUCACAUCAUGUAUGUAACUGUAGUAGUAUGUAACAUCACAACAUGUAUGUAACAUCACAUCAUGUAUGUAACAUCACAACAUGUAUGUAACUGUAGUAGUAUGUAACAUCACAUCAUGUAUGUAACUGUAGUAGUAUGUAACAUCACAACAUGUAUGUAACAUCACAUCAUGUAUGUAACAUCACAUGUAUGUAACUGUAGUAGUAUGUAACAUCACAUCAUGUAUGUAACUGUAGUAGUAUGUAACAUGUAUGCAACUUUAGUAGUAUGUAACAUUAUGUAUGUAACUGUAAUAGUAUGUAACAUGUAUGUAACUUUAGUAGUAUGUAACAUGUAUGUAACAUUAUGUAUGCAACUGUAGUAGUAUGUAACAUCACAUCAUGUAUGUAGCAGCAUGUAUGUAACUGUAGUAGUAUGUAACAUGUAUGUAACAUCACGUAUGUAACUGUAGUAGUAUGUAACAUCACGUAUGUAACUGUAGUAGUAUGUAACAUCAUGUAUGUAACUGUAGUAGUAUGUAACAUCACAUAAUGUAUGUAACUGUAGUAGUAUGUAACAUCACGUAUGUAACAUCAUGCAUGUAACUGUAGUAGUAUGUAACAUGUAUGUAACUGUAGUAGUAUGUAACAUGUAUGUAACAUCACGUAUGUAACUGUAGUAGUAUGUAACAUCACGUAUGUAACUGUAGUAGUAUGUAACAUCAUGUAUGUAACUGUAGUAGUAUGUAACAUCACAUAAUGUAUGUAACUGUAGUAGUAUGUAACAUCAUGCAUGUAACUGUAGUAGUAUGUAACAUGUAUGUAACUGUAGUAGUAUGUAACAUCACAUAUGUAACUGUAGUAGUAUGUAACAUCACAUAUGUAACUGUAGUAGUAUGUAACAUCAUGUAUGUAACUGUAGUAGUAUUAUGUAACAUGUAUGUAACUGUAGUAGAAUGUAACAUCACAUAUGUAACUGUAGUAGUAUGUAACAUCAUGUAUGUAACUGUAGUAGUAUGUAACAUGUACGUAACUGUAGUAGUAUGUAACAUGUACGUAACUGUAGUAGUAUGUAACAUGUAUGUAACUGUAGUAGUAUGUAACAUCAUGUAUGUAACUGUAGUAGUAUGUAACAUCACAUAUGUAACUGUAGUAGUAUGUAACAUCAUGUAUGUAACUGUAGUAGUAUGUAACAUCACAUCAUGUAUGUAAUUGUAGUAGUAUGUAACAUGUAUGUAACUGUAGUAGAAUGUAACAUCAUGUAUGUAACUGUAGUAGUAUGUAACAUCACAACAUGUAUGUAACUGUUGUAGUAUGUAACAUCACAACAUGUAUGUAACUGUAGUAGUAUGUAACAUCACAACAUGUAUGUAACUGUAGUAGUAUGUAACAUCACAACAUGUAUGUAACUGUGGUAGUAUGUAACAUCACAUAUGUAACUGUAGUAGUAUGUAACAUCACAUCAUGUAUAUAACUGUGGUAGUAUGUAACAUCACAUAAUGUAUGUAACUAGUAGUAUGCAACAUCACAUAUGUAACUGUAGUAGUAUGUAACAUCACAUCAUGUAUAUAACUGUGGUAGUAUGUAACAUCACAUAAUGUAUGUAACUGUAGUAGUAUGCAACAUCAUGUAUGUAACUGCAGUAAUAUGUAAAUGUAGUAAUAUGUAACAUCAUGAAUGUAACAUGUAUGUAACUGUAGUAGUAUGUAACAUCACAUAAUGUAUGUAACUGUAGUAGUAUGUAACAUCACGUAUGUAACUGUAGUAGAAUGUAACAUCAUGCAUGUAACUGUAGUAGAAUGUAACAUGUAUGUAACUGUAGUAGUAUGUAACAUGUAUGUAACUGUCGUAGAAUGUAACAUCACAUAUGUAACUGUAGUAGUAUUUAACAUCAUGUAUGUAACUGUAAUAGUAUGUAACAUCACAACAUGUAUGUAACUGUUGUAGUAUGUAACAUCACAACAUGUAUGUAACUGUAGUAGUAUGUAACAUCACAACAUGUAUGUAACUGUAGUAGUAUGUAACAUCACAACAUGUAUGUAACUGUAGUAGUAUGUAACAUCACAACAUGUAUGUAACUGUAGUAGUAUGUAACAUCACAUCAUGUAUGUAACUGUGGUAGUAUGUAACAUCACAUCAUGUAUGUAACUGUAGUAGUAUGUAACAUGUAUGUAACUGUGGUAGUAUGUAACAUGUAUGUAACUGUAGUAGUAUGUAACAUGUAACUGUGGUAGUAUGUAACAUGUAUUAUGUAACAUCACAUCAUGUAUGUAACUGUAGUAGUAUGUAACUGUAGUAGAAUGUAACAUCAUGUAUGUAACUGUAGUAGUAUGUAACAUCACAACAUGUAUGUAACUGUUGUAGUAUGUAACAUCACAACAUGUAUGUAACUGUAGUAGUAUGUAACAUCACAACAUGUAUGUGACUGUAGUAGCAUGUAACAUCACAACAUGUAUGUAACUGUAGUAGCAUGUAACAUCACAACAUGUAUGUAACUGUAGUAGUAUGUAACAUCACAACAUGUAUGUAACUGUGGUAGUAUGUAACAUCACAUAUGUAACUGUAGUAGUAUGCAACAUCAUGUAUGUAACUGUAGUAGCAUGUAACAUCACAACAUGUAUGUAACUGUAGUAGCAUGUAACAUCACAACAUGUAUGUAACAUCACAUAUGUAACUGUAGUAGUAUGCAACAUCAUGUAUGUAACUGUGGUAGUAUGUAACAUCAUGUGUGUAACUGCGGUAGAAUGUAACAUCAUGUAAGUAACUGUUGUAGUAUGUAACAUCACAACAUGUAUGUAACUGUAGUAGUAUGUAACAUCAUGUAUGUAACAUCAUGUAGGUAACAUCAUGUAAGUAACUGUGGUAGUAUGUAACAUCACAUUAUGUAUGUAACUGUAGUAGUAUGUAACAUCAUGUACUGUAUGUAACUGUAGUAGUAUGUAACAUGUAUGUAACUGUGGUAGUAUGUAACAUCAUGUAUGUAACUGUGGUAGAAUGUAACAUCAUGUAUGUAACUGUAGUAGUAUGUAACAUGUAUGUAACUGUGGUAGUAUGUAACAUCACAUUAUGUAUGUAACUGUGGUAGUAUGUAACAUCAUGUAUGUAACAUGUAACUGUGGUAGAAUGUAACAUCAUGUAUGUAACAUCACAUCAUGUAUGUAACUGUAGUAGUAUGUAACAUCAUGUAUGUAACUGUAGUAGUAUGUAACAUCACAUCCUGUUUGUAACAUUACAUCCUGUAUGUAACUGUGGUAGAAUGUAACAUGAUGUAUGUAACUGUGGUAGAAUGUAACAUCAUGUAUGUAACUGUGGUAGCAUGUAACAUCACAUCAUGUAUGUAACUGUGGUAGUAUGUAACAUCACAUCAUGUAUGUAACUGUGGUAGUAUGUAACAUGAUGUAUGUAACUGUAGUAGUAUGUAACAUGUAUGUAACUGUGGUAGAAUGUAACAUCAUGUAUGUAACUGUAGUAGUAUGUAACAGCACAUCCUGUUUGUAACAUUACAUCCUGUAUGUAACUGUGGUAGUAUGUAACAUCAUGUAUGUAACUGUAGUAGUAUGUAACAUCAUGUAUGUAACAUCACAUCAUGUAUGUAACUGUGGUAGAAUGUAACAUGAUGUAUGUAACUGUGGUAGAAUGUAACAUCACAUCAUGUAUGUAACUGUGGUAGUAUGUAACAUCACAUCAUGUAUGUAACUGUAGUAGUAUGUAACAUCAUGUAUGUAACAUCACAUCAUGUAUGUAACUGUGGUAGAAUGUAACAUCAUGUAUGUAACUGAGAGUCUCUGUGAUGCAGUCUACAGUCUACUACAGUGAGAUGCAGUCUACAGUCUACUACAGUGAGAUGCAGUCUACAGUCUACUACAGUGAGAUGCAGUCUACAGUCUACUACAGUGAGAUGCAGUCUACAGUCUACUACAGUGAGAUGCAGUCUACAGUCUACUACAGUGAGAUGCAGUCUACUACAGUGAGAUGCAGUCUACUACAGUGAGAUGCAGUCUACUACAGUGAGAUGCAGUCUACAGUCUACUACAGUGAGAUGCAGUCUACUACAGUGAGAUGCCUUCUACAGUCUACUAGAGUGAGAUGAAGCCUACAGUCCACUACAGUGAGAUACAGUGAGAUGCAGUCUACUACAGUGAGAUGCAGUCUACUACAGUGAGAUGCAGUCUACAGUCUACUACAGUGAGAUGCAGUCUACAGUCUACUACAGUGAGAUGCUGUCUACAGUCUACUACAGUGAGAUGCAGUCUACUACAGUGAUAUGCAGCCUACUACAGUGAGAUGCAGUCUACUACAGUGAGAUACAGUCUACAGUCUACUACAGUGAGAUGCAAUCUACUACAGUGAGAUGCAGUCUACAGUCUACUACAGUGAGAUGCUGUCUACAGUCUACUACAGUGAGAUGCAGUCUACUACAGUGAUAUGCAGUCUACUACAGUGAGAUGCAGUCUACAGUCUACUACAGUGAGAUGCAGUCUACAGUCUACUACAGUGAGAUGCAGUCUACAGUCUACUACAGUGAGAUGCAAUCUACUACAGUGAGAUGCAGUCUACAGUCUACUACAGUGAGAUGCAGUCUACAGUCUACUACAGUGAGAUGCAGUCUACAGUCUACUACAGUGAGAUGCAGUCUACAGUCUACUACAGUGAGAUGCAGUCUACAGUCUACUACAGUGAGAUGCAGUCUACAGUCUACUACAGUGAGAUGCAGUCUACUACAGUGAGAUACAGUCUACUACAGUGAGAUACAGUCUACAGUCUACUACAGUGAGAUGCAGCCUACAGUCUACUACAGUGAGAUGC